AGAGUUUGAUCAUGGCUCAGAUUGAACGCUGGCGGCAUGCCUUACACAUGCAAGUCGAACGGCAGCGCGGGGCAACCUGGCGGCGAGUGGCGAACGGGUGAGUAAUAUAUCGGAACGUGCCCUGGAGUGGGGGAUAACGCAGCGAAAGUUGCGCUAAUACCGCAUACGAUCUAAGGAUGAAAGCAGGGGACCGCAAGGCCUUGUGCUCCUGGAGCGGCCGAUAUCUGAUUAGCUAGUUGGUGGGGUAAAGGCCUACCAAGGCAUCGAUCAGUAGCUGGUCUGAGAGGACGACCAGCCACACUGGAACUGAGACACGGUCCAGACUCCUACGGGAGGCAGCAGUGGGGAAUUUUGGACAAUGGGCGCAAGCCUGAUCCAGCAAUGCCGCGUGAGUGAAGAAGGCCUUCGGGUUGUAAAGCUCUUUUGUCAGGGAAGAAACGGUGUGGGCUAAUAUCCCGCACUAAUGACGGUACCUGAAGAAUAAGCACCGGCUAACUACGUGCCAGCAGCCGCGGUAAUACGUAGGGUGCAAGCGUUAAUCGGAAUUACUGGGCGUAAAGCGUGCGCAGGCGGUUUUGUAAGUUUGUCGUGAAAGCCCCGGGCUCAACCUGGGAAUUGCGAUGAAGACUGCAAGGCUUGAAUCUGGCAGAGGGGGGUAGAAUUCCACGUAGCAGUGAAAUGCGUAGAGAUGUGGAGGAACACCGAUGGCGAAGGCAGCCCCCUGGGUCAAGAUUGACGCUCAUGCACGAAAGCGUGGGGAGCAAACAGGAUUAGAUACCCUAGUAGUCC
rnacentral:rRNA from 1 species